rnacentral:lncRNA from 1 species
UGCCCGGCUGGCAAAAGCCUCAAGUUUUCCUGUCACCCUAUCAUCAAAUCUCACUCCAAAAGCAAGCAACAAAUCACUCUUAUCAACAGCAUAAUUGGCAUACACAGUUCCGUGCAUCCCAAGCAUUUGUAACGACAACUCAUCCGAAAUCGGAAAGGCUCCAAGACCCAUCAAAGUACUUGCAACAGGUAUCCCUGUAAGCUCAACAAACCUCUUCAACUCCUCACUAGAGUUCAAACACCCACCACCAACAUAUAAAACAGGCUUCUUAGACUCAGAAACCAAUCUCACGAUCUGUUCGAGAUGAGCCUCAGCGGGAGCCUUAGGCAACCUAGACAAAUACCCUGGCAAUCUAAG